GGCCGGUGGCCUAAUGGUUAGGGCUUCUACCUCAACUGCGGGAGGUCGUGGGUUCGAUCCCCCGUCGAAUCA